CCUACGGGUGGCAGCAGUGAGGAAUAUUGGUCAAUGGACGAGAGUCUGAACCAGCCAAGUAGCGUGAAGGAUGACUGCCCUAUGGGUUGUAAACUUCUUUUAUAUGGGAAUAAAAUGUUCCACGUGUGGGAUUUUGUAUGUACCAUAUGAAUAAGGAUCGGCUAACUCCGUUCCAGCAGCCGCGGUAAUACGGAGGAUCCGAGCGUUUUCCGGAUUUAUUGGGUUUAAAGGGAGCGUAGGUGGAUUGUUAAGUCAGUUGUGAAAUUUUGCGGCUCAACCGUAAAAUUGCAGUUGAAACUGGCAGUCUUGAGUACAGUAGAGGUGGGCGGAAUUCGUGGUGUAGCGGUGAAAUGCUUAGAUAUCACGAAGAACUCCGAUUGCGAAGGCAGCUCACUGGACUGCAACUGACACUGAGGCUCGAAAGUGUGGGUAUCAAACAGGAUUAGAUACCCGGGUAGUC
rnacentral:rRNA from 1 species